rnacentral:lncRNA from 1 species
UUCCUGUGGGCUUCAGUGAUGGGAUAGUACACUUCACUCAGAGGCAUUUGCAUCUUUAAAUAAUUUCUUAAAAGCCUCUAAAGUGAUCAGUGCCUUGAUGCCAACUAAGGAAAUUUGUUUAGCAUUGAAUCUCUGAAGGCUCUAUGAAAGGAAUAGCAUGAUGUGCUGUUAGAAUCAGAUGUUACUGCUAAAAUUUACAUGUUGUGAUGUAAAUUGUGUAGAAAACCAUUAAAUCAUUCAAAAUAAUAAACUAUUUUUAUUAGAGAAUGUAUACUUUUAGAAAGCUGUCUCCUUAUUUAAAUAAAAUAGUGUUUGUCUGUAGUUCAGUGUUGGGGCAAUCUUGGGGGGGAUUCUUCUCUAAUCUUUCAGAAACUUUGUCUGCGAACACUCUUUAAUGGACCAGAUCAGGAUUUGAGCGGAAGAACGAAUGUAACUUUAAGGCAGGAAAGACAAAUUUUAUUCUUCAUAAAGUGAUGAGCAUAUAAUAAUUCCAGGCACAUGGCAAUAGAGGCCCUCUAAAUAAGGAAUAAAUAACCUCUUAGACAGGUGGGAGAUUAUGAUCAGAGUAAAAGAGGCAUUUCAUCCUUCAUGAAGCCAUUCAGGAUUUUGAAUUGCAUAUGAGUGCUUGGCUCUUCCUUCUGUUCUAACUUCACAGAGAAUGCAGUUGUCUUGACUUCAGGUCUGUCUGUUCUGUUGGCAAGUAAAUGCAGUACUGUUCUGAUCCCGCUGCUAUUAGAAUGCAUUGUGAAACGACUGGAGUAUGAUUAAAAGUUGUGUUCCCCAAUGCUUGGAGUAGUGAUUGUUGAAGG